rnacentral:rRNA from 1 species
UACGGAGGGUGCGAGCGUUAAUCGGAAUAACUGGGCGUAAAGGGCACGCAGGCGGGCUGUUAAGCGGGAUGUGAAAUCCCCGGGCUUAACCUGGGAAUAGCAUUUCAGACUGGGAGUCUAGAGUACUAUAGGGAGGGGUAGAAUUCCACGUGUAGCGGUGAAAUGCGUAGAGAUGUGGAGGAAUACCGAAGGCGAAGGCAGCCCCUUGGCAAUGUACUGACGCUCAUGUGCGAAAGCGUGGGGAGCAAACAGG